rnacentral:rRNA from 1 species
CCAAUAGCGUAUAUUAAAGUUGUUGCAGUUAAAAAGCUCGUAGUAGAAUUUCGGGGUUAGUAGGUUGGUCAUGCCUCUGGUAUGUACUGGUCUCACUGAUUCCUCCUUCCUGAUGAUCCGUAAUGCCAUUUAUUUGGUGUUGCGGGGAAUUUGGACUGUUACUUUGAAAAAAUUAGAGUGUUUAAAGCAAGCUAACGCUUGAAUACAUUAGCAUGGAAUAAUGAAAUAGGACGUUCGAUCCUAUUUUGUUGGUUUCUAGGAUUGACGUAAUGAUUAAUAGGGAUAGUUGGGGGCAUUAGUAUUAAAUUGUCAGAGGUGAAGUUCUUGGAUUUAUUGAAGACUAACUACUGCGAAAGCAUUUGCCAAGGAUGUUUUCAUUAAUCAAGAACGAAAGUUAGGGGAUCGAAGACGAUCAGAUACCGUCGUAGUCUUAACCAUAAACCAUGCCGACUAGGGAUCGGAUGAUGUUAAUUUUUUAAUGACUCAUUCGGCGUCUUACG